CCCCUUUUAAAAACACUCAGUGGGCCUUUUGCUAAUGACCCAUCGAGCCGUCCAGAAGGAGCAGAGCCAUCGAGCCGUCCAGAAGGAGCAGAGCCAAAAACACCGCUUCUGGGUGAAGUGGCAACUUGUUGUGUUGUUUUGCUUCAAUCGGUGGUGUGACAAGA